rnacentral:rRNA from 1 species
CAGGUGCAAUGGAUUGAUUGAUUGAUGAAUCAAUCACAGCUGCUAGAAGAAGAAAGAAUCAGGCGUGCAUCAUGGAUGAUGGAUCUUGGAGUGCGGGGUGAGAACAAAGGUGAUUUAUUGGAGUGAUAUAAGCAAACUCAGGCACGUUUCCUUUCCUCACAUUUUGAAGAUCCAAGCAGAAUGGAUCUAUUAUUAGUAGCAUCGUCACCUUCAAAUCCAAUGUUUUUUUAGGCCACUCCUGUGUUUGUCUCUUUCAAACUAAUCUGGUUUAAACAGUAGAUCAUUACUAUUUUACCUACUUGAUUCUUAAUGCUUGUAUUUCCUAAAUUUUCCUAGGAGAAUGGGAAUUACAUCUAGAGCUACAGUUUGUGAUUUAAGGAUCUGCUAGGCAUGUCAUGGCCUGAAGCUUGAGCAGUUCAUAUUCGACAUAUCCAUUUAAUCCCUGUCCAUGACACUUUUUGAGGUGCUACACGAAGAGGAAUUUGCGCCAGUGAAGAACGCGAAUGGCACAACCUAUGACACCUGAUGCUACUCCAACUGCAUAGCGGAUGGGUAAUUUCUCACCAUUUCCUGUACCCAGAAACUUGUAGAAUUAAAUUACAAGUCAGGCCUUUCAACAUAGAACUUUUAUGAUCAUCUUUCUCAUGAUCCCUUUCCCUCAUAAGCUUCGAGGUUUCUCCUCUCAGCUCCUAUGCCGGAGAAAGCCUUGAGACGAUUUUUCAUGGACGAGGAUUCCACAUUCCCGGUGAGAUUUCGCUAUAGGCGCAUCAUGUCAUGGCAGCAGCAACAUCAAAUGGGAGAUGCAAUGUUGCAAGGCCGAAACCUUGGGGUACAUUGGGUUUCGACUUACAUGUUACAGGAUAUGCGUAGACGUAAGUUUGACUUUCAGAUAAUACAUGCCAAACACUUUUAAAGUUGUGUCGUGCAUGACAGUGGAAACAUCUGUGUAUUGCACAGGAUCCUACAGAGCAGAUGGGCACAUGUAUGUGUGGAGACUCUGAAAAGAUGAACACAUGUAUGUGUCCGGUUAUUCUGAAGCUAUUUAAUAUAUUAGUUGUGUCAAGAGGUCAAGUCCAGGCCCCUCAUGUCAAGUCUAUAAGUUUCACUCGAAAGAAUAAAAUGCUCUCAAGGGUCGUACUGAAAAAAGAACUACAUUAGCAAGUUGAUUCAAUAAUCCAUCCUCUGUUUUGCACCUCGUUUGUUAGUUAUUUAGUUAUGGCCAGGGUGGGAGUAUUGACAAAGUUUUGGGUGAAGGAGCAAAUUGGCAGUAAUCAGUGCGAUCCUACCGGCAGUGGUUUGCGAGUAUACAUGGAUAGGAAAUGAGAUGAGAUCAAAUCUCAUGAUUCCAUCUCGUCCCGGUCCCGGGCGGACGGGGUGUCAGGGUGAGUAGUUUGUUUGUUCGACCCUCAUUCUGUGGUGCCCAUGAAAUAUGCAACACAUGUACCAUGAAGGGGGUUAUUUAGUGUGACAACUCAUACUUGUUGUCCUAAGGGCUGCUUUAUAAAAGCUUUGUACCAAAUUUACUGAAUUAGAAAUAACAGUUGAUAGAGCUGGUAUGUUAAUCUCAUAGCCCUGACCUUGAACAUUUUCUUCUUUCGUCCUAUAUAUGCACACUUACCUUCCUGCAACUGUAUGUACAUCCUCUGUAAGGAAAUAUAGGAGCAUUUAGAAUACUAAAAUAGUGAUCUAAAUGCUCUAAUAUUUCUUAUUAACUAGCCAAUUGCUUUCAUUUAAUUAUCAUUAUUCUGGAACAUGUUGCUCACGUGAUAUUAAACAUUUUAAUUAGAAUAAGCUAUCCAAGAAGGUUUUAUUAGGAAAAUUUAGUUUAUGUGACUUUUUUUUAUUUGAACAAGCUACGCAUCUCCAUUUUUUCAUUUUUAGUUGUUUAUUUGUAUAGUUGAAACAUUAGUUUGAUGUGAGUUUCAGCUACCUGCUUGUUAUUGAAACUGCAAGAACUCUCUAGCUUUUGUCAAAAGAAAUGGAAUGUGAUUGAAGUAAAAGAAGAUAAGGUGUUUUUGUUGAUCCUUGUGUCUGAUUUUAGGGUGUGUGCGUGUGCCUAAUCACUGUAAAUAGUAAAUACUCUACAUCUAUGACAGCGAAAUCCUUGUGAAUAUGGACAGAUGGAGAUGUAUGAACAGGCAGUUCUUGCAGUUACUUAUUCAGUGGACAUAUGGUGUAAUUAUUGUCAGUUUGCGAUUUCAACAUACAAUGACCCAGAUGUCAUCAGAACAUAGCAAUUGAAUACCGAGACUAUUCUGAUGAAGUUUUUUUUAAUAUAUUUUUGUAGUGUCUUGACUUUUGUUAACUACCGCAUUUUAGGCUGUAUGUGUAUAGGAAUACAUACAUGGCAAGAAGGGAUUUUACAAUACCUAGGACCUGGACAGGAAUGCUUGAUGAAAUGCUUCAUAAUAUUUUAGCACUGUUUUUCGGCAGUCCUUGUGGUAGGAAAGUUAUCCAUUCUUCGAAAACUCAUCUACUACUACUCACCUUGUAGAAUUUUUUAUUCUGCUGCAUAUUUGGUUUUAUCAUAAAAUGAAUGGAUUAUUCUGAAAUACAGUGUAACCCCUCCCCCCUCUCAACGAUUAUUAUUUUAGCAUUUAUUUAUUAUUAUUCUUUUGCCUCUUGCUAUUGCUUGCUAAAGGCACAUGCAUACACAAAUCUUUCCUCGUGCCAUUGUUUCUUCUGCAAGCACCUAGCAGUGUAAUUUCAUGAAUCAAAGUAAGAUUCUGCUAUUUGGCCCAAAGAAUUAUCUGAUGAUACCUUUUCCCCUUUCCUUGCUAUAGCUACUGGAUGUUUAUUCUUUUUGAGACAAGAACACUUACUUUUGGCCUACUUAUACUAUCAUGUCGAUUCCUAAUUUAGGAGUGAAUAUGGGCCGUGGACUGCUUUUCUUGCGUUUGCGGUGUGUUUGUUCUUACCCUUUCCAGGUAGAGUAACAUGAAAGAUCAAUAAGUCCUGCUUAAAAGUUUGAUGCACUGUUUGAGCAGUGAUUUUGUUUUUUAUGGUGAGAGUUCCUCGGAUGUUAUUUUUCGCUCAAAUUUUGCAAGAAGCUCAAGCAUUUGAUAAUUAUUUUGUCUCAAAAUUUCAGAUUUUUUGGAUUUUGUUUUAUCAUGUUUUUUCAGUGUUUUUCGAAAUUCGGUGUACUACACUCGAGAGUUGUCACACCUUUCUAUAUAUCUCAUGGUUUUGUGGCUUAUGCCUUGGAAGCUUUUUGCCAAUGCACAAGUGCAAAGUCCUUUCAUUUUCCUCCUGUAUCCUCAGUUGCGUACUAUAACAUUUGACUAUGUGUCGUGUUGGUCUCAAUGGGCUGGCACAGUACUACAGACUAUGGCUAAAGGCUAUGUUUACAAACAUAAAAUAAUGAUUCAAAGAAGAGGAGCAGACGGUGCUACGAUAUUUACCUCAAGGUGAUGAAUCAAUGAACCGAGGGACUUAUUAUUCGGUGAGGCCAGCGGGGUAUUCCAUUUCCUGCAUUUCCUCUUCAGUAUGCUGACUCCAAUCUCCAGAGUCCUCGAUGAUUCUUUCUUAGUCCAUUUAAAUGGGUAUUAUUUUUACCAGUUGGUACACGUUUUUCUUUCAAUAUGCACUCUCACAAUAAUUUUUUUUUUCUGUUCUUCAAAUUGAUUUGUUGAUGGUACAAGGGAAUCAUUGAAAAAAUGUCUUCUCAUCAAGGAUUGGAUUGUGUUCUCAUUAUAGAACAUAAUUUAUUAUGUGAGGCAUUUGCCAUUGCAACAUCUUGUCUAGGGUAUAUUUUUUUCCAUUAAACUGAACUGCCUCGCAAAAAAAUUGUAUGUACUACCCUCUUCUCCAUAAAUAAAUGACAUCUGCUUGGGCAGUAGGUCAUGCUUGGCAGAAUCGCCUCCUCCCGGUCUUCAACACUCCUGCAGGAAUUGAGCGCCAGGGUGGUCGGGACACAUAGAACACCAACAAGGGAAAAAAAUGCACCACUCCUAGGUCAUGCUUGGCAGAAUCGCCUCCUCCCGGUCUUCAGCACUCCUGCAGGAAUUGAGCACCAGUGUGGUCGGGACACAUAGAACACCAACAAGCGACAAAAAUGCACUACUCCAAUAUGCAGCCAGAGUUUGGGCAAUGAUCAAAACGUGGCUUGGUUUACAUGAUGUUCAUCCUACGGACUGGGGAGGCAUGGUUUCCGUCAAGGAGUGGUGGCGCAGCAACACUUAAGGGAGGUCGCAAUCUCGAAGGCCGCUUGUUUCCCUUAUUCCUAUCUCUUGGGAAAUCUGGAAUGAGCGAAAUGCUCGGGUGUUCCGCAACAAUGCGACUCCGGUCGUUGUGCUUGUGACACAUCAAAGCGGAGGCAUCAUCGGGGUGCCUUGCCGGACGAAAUAUUUGUGUAAUAUAAUGCCGCGAGAGUGA